CAAUAGCGUAUAUUAAAGUUGUUGCAGUUAGAACGCUCGUAGUCGGAUUUCGGGGCGGGCCGACCGGUCUGCCGAUGGGUACGCACUGGUCGGCGCGUCCUUCCUUCCGGAGACCGUGCCUACUCUUAACUGAGCGGGGGCGGGAGACGGAUCGUUUACUUUGAAAAAAUCAGAGUGUUUCAAGCAGGCAGCUCGCUCUUGCAUGGAUUAGCAUGGGAUAAUGAAAUAGGACUUUGGUGCUAUUUUGUUGGUUUCGAACACCGAAGUAAUGAUUAAAAGGGACAGUCAGGGGCACUCGUAUUCCGCCGAGAGAGGUGAAAUUCUCAGACCAGCGGAAGACGAACUACUGCGAAAGCAUUCGCCAGGGAUGUUUUCACUGA
rnacentral:rRNA from 1 species